CAAUUUGCUUGAAAAUGUCAAAUGUCAAACAAAAUUGUGAAAAAUGUAAAAUAUUUUUGUGAAAUACAUUUAUUAUAGACAAAAAGUGUUAGUAAAGGUUUAUCGAUUGAUUUGUCUACAACUAUUACAAUAAAUAUAAUGAAUUAAGUGUAAUAUUCGCACAAACGAAAUGGGAGCUACAGCAGCAGACAUAACCCUUUGUAUGUGCAAACACAAGCAACCACUUUUCGGCUGAUUAACUACAACAAUUUUUCAGAAAAGUAACAAAAAACGGCAAUUAAGCAAUUGAGAGCGCAAAGAGUGCCAAAAAAGUGCGGCUGGUACUAUCAACAAAGUUGAAAUUUAAUUACAUCAAAAAGGCCAGCAAUAUACAUACAUAUGUACAUAUAUAUGUAUGUAAUCACGUGCAUACCUACAUGUGUAUGUACGAUAUUUGCCAACAGUCAAAGCGUAUGACAAGUGAAAGCACAGCCUAGAAAACGCCCGCGCCACAGCGCUUGGUGUGAAUUGUUGAAAAGUAAUCACAUUUCAGUUGUUUAAGCCAGAAAGAUUUUUUGGCAAUACACAGCUGUCAGUAUCACAUGACAAGCAGGCAAAAAAAAUGCAAAAAAUAUAUAAAACAACAACAACAAGAACAGUGCAAAAAACACUAUGUAACACAUAAGUGAAAUGGCAGCAGGAAAAACCUACGCAUAUGCAACGCACAAACGCUUGUUUAUAUAAAUGUAUGUUUGUAGGUAUGUAUGUACAUAUGUAAAAAAAAUAUUUGCUGUGGAAAAAAGUGGCAACAUAAAUCCCCGCUGUAAGUCCUGGAUGAGCUUUUGCUGUGUGGCGACGCGGCGUCAUCAACUUUGAGCAACAGACAAACUGUGACAGCGCGAAAUGUGCAUACGUACAGAU